AUUGAACGCUGGCGGAAUGCUUUACGCAUGCAAGUCGAACGGCAGCACGGACUUCGGUCUGGUGGCGAGUGGCGAACGGGUGAGUAAUGUAUCGGAACGUGCCCAGUCGUGGGGGAUAACGUAGUGAAAAUUACGCUAAUACCGCAUACGACCUAUGGAUGAAAGCGGGGGAUCGCAAGACCUCGCGCGAUUGGAGCGGCCGAUAUCAGAUUAGGUAGUUGGUGGGGUAAAGGCCCGCCAAGCCAACGAUCUGUAGCUGGUCUGAGAGGACGACCAGCCACACUGGAACUGAGACACGGUCCAGACUCCUACGGGAGGCAGCAGUGGGGAAUUUUGGACAAUGGGCGAAAGCCUGAUCCAGCCAUUCCGCGUGCAGGAUGAAGGCCCUCGGGUUGUAAACUGCUUUUGUACAGAACGAAAAGGUUUCUACUAAUACUAGGAGCUCAUGACGGUACUGUAAGAAUAAGCACCGGCUAACUACGUGCCAGCCGCCGCAGUAA
rnacentral:rRNA from 1 species